rnacentral:misc_RNA from 1 species
UUUCCGUAGGUGAACCUGCGGAAGGAUCAUUAGCGAAUGAUACCUCCUGUUUAAAACACCUGCUGCUUUCAGCUGUUCGCCUUCGGGCUUGCACUUUGGAUGUAGCAGAGUCAUAACACACCUGUGCACCGUUCAGCUGUCGAGGGCUGAAAAGCCCUUGCGUUUGCCCUUUACACAAAACACAGUCUGUGAAUGUCAUAUAAACUUAAACAAAUACAACUUUCAAUAACGGAACCCUUAGCCCUCGCAUCGAUGAAUAACGCAGCAGAUCAGAAAAGC